rnacentral:rRNA from 1 species
GACGAACGCUGGCGGCGUGCUUAACACAUGCAAGUCGAACGGAAAGGCCCUGCUUUUGUGGGGUGCUCGAGUGGCGAACGGGUGAGUAACACGUGAGUAACCUGCCCUUGACUUUGGGAUAACUUCAGGAAACUGGGGCUAAUACCGGAUAGGAGCUCCUGCUGCACGGGGGGGGUUGGAAAGUUUCGGCGGUUGGGGAUGGAUUCGCGGCUUAUCAGCUUGUUGGUGGGGUAGUGGCUUACCAAGGUUUUGACGGGUAGCCGGCCUGGGAGGGUGCCCAGCCACAUUGCGACUGCGGUACGGCCCAGAAUCCUACGUGAGGCAGCAGUGGGGAAUCUUGCACAGUGGGCGGGAGCCUGAUGCGGAAGCGCCGCGUGCGGGAUGCCGGCCUUCGGGUUGUAAACCGCUUUCGACUGUGCCGAAGCGUGAGUGACGGUAAUGGGUAAAGAAGCACCGGCUAACUACGUG